rnacentral:rRNA from 1 species
CACGUAGGGUGCGAGCGUUGUCCGGAAUUAUUGGGCGUAAAGAGCUCGUAGGCGGUGUGUCGCGUCGACCGUGAAAACCUGCAGCUUAACUGUGGGCUUGCGGUCGAUACGGGCAUCACUGGAGUUCGGCAGGGGAGACUGGAAUUCCUGGUGUAGCGGUGAAAUGCGCAGAUAUCAGGAGGAACACCGGUGGCGAAGGCGGGUCUCUGGGCCGAUACUGACGCUGAGGAGCGAAAGCGUGGGGAGCGAACAGG